rnacentral:lncRNA from 1 species
CUCGGCCCUCCGGGUCCGCCCGCGCCCGGGAGCCCGCGGCCAGGGGACUCUGCCAAGGAGGGGGCGGCGGCGGCGGCGGGGCCGGGAACGCGUGGCCUGGCCGGGCUGAGGAAACGGCAACCCCUCCCGGCAACCCCUCCCGGCCCUCGUACAGCGCCUCCAGGGACUUAAACUUGCCUCAGCCACGUGAUUACCCUGAUCUGCCUGCUGAGAGAUGAGCAAAGGUGGAGAGGGACUAGAUCUCAGCAGAGACAGCAGUUCCUGAGCGCCCACCCCCCAGCGCUUCCAGAAAUGCAAUGCAACAUGGACCAGCCUGUGAGCAUUUGCUCCUCCUCAGGUUUCCUUUGGGUGAGGAUGAAGAAUCAAGCAGAAGGGGCUGAGCCCAGGCAGGGUUUCUCACCAAAGUGGACAAGCCAGAAGUCUGACUGUAAGGGAAACCUAGAUGGUGCUAACAUGGAACCCUGGAGGCUGGAGAAGCAAGUUAAUCUAUACACUCAAGCCAACCCUGACUCACAGGGAAGUGACUUCAAAACAACUUUCAUAACUCCACCUGGAUGCUGGCCACCUUUCCCUUCUCAGCUCUGUCUUUGGCUUCGUGCCACUCCCUUAUUCUCUGAUCCUCCCUUUUCUUAUCUCUAA